rnacentral:tRNA from 1 species
GGUUAUAUCUCAGUGGUAGAGCACUUGUCUAGCAUGUGCAAGGCUCUGGGUUCAAUUCCCAGUAUAACCA